GACGAACGCUGGCGGCGUGCCUAAUACAUGCAAGUCGAACGCUUUGAUUUUUACCGGAGCUUGCUCCACCGAAAAUCAAAGAGUGGCGGACGGGUGAGUAACACGUGGGCAACCUGCCCAACAGAGGGGGAUAACACUUGGAAACAGGUGCUAAUACCGCAUAAUUUGUUUUCCCGCAUGGGAGAAUAAUAAAAGACGCUUCGGUGUCACUGUUGGAUGGGCCCGCGCUGCAUUAGUUAGUUGGUGGGGUAAUGGCCUACCAAGACCGUGAUGCAUAGCCGACCUGAGAGGGUGAUCGGCCACACUGGGACUGAGACACGGCCCAGACUCCUACGGGAGGCAGCAGUAGGGAAUCUUCGGCAAUGGACGAAAGUCUGACCGAGCAACGCCGCGUGAGUGAAGAAGGUUUUCGGAUCGUAAAACUCUGUUGUUAGAGAAGAACAAGUGGGAGAGUAACUGUUCCCACCUUGACGGUAUCUAACCAGAAAGCCACGGCUAACUACGUGCCAGCAGCCGCGGUAAUACGUAGGUGGCAAGCGUUGUCCGGAUUUAUUGGGCGUAAAGCGAGCGCAGGCGGUUUCUUAAGUCUGAUGUGAAAGCCCUCGGCUCAACCGAGGAAGGUCAUUGGAAACUGGGGAACUUGAAUGCAGAAGAGGAGAGUGGAAUUCCAUGUGUAGCGGUGAAAUGCGUAGAUAUAUGGAGGAACACCAGUGGCGAAGGCGACUCUCUGGUCUGUAAUUGACGCUGAGGCACGAAAGCGUGGGGAGCAAACAGG
rnacentral:rRNA from 1 species